rnacentral:rRNA from 1 species
UACAGAGGGUGCAAGCGUUAAUCGGAAUUACUGGGCGUAAAGCGCGCGUAGGUGGUUUGUUAAGUUGGAUGUGAAAUCCCCGGGCUCAACCUGGGAACUGCAUUCAAAACUGGCAAGCUAGAGUAUGGUAGAGGGUGGUGGAAUUUCCUGUGUAGCGGUGAAAUGCGUAGAUAUAGGAAGGAACACCAGUGGCGAAGGCGACCACCUGGACUGAUACUGACACUGAGGUGCGAAAGCGUGGGGAGCAAACAGG